ensembl:lncRNA
ACAUCACCUGAGGAUGAUUAUUUAACGUUACCUCAAUGUAACGCUGACACUUUAAGGCUUGGAAAGCCUGUACGAUUCUCCUGCCCCUCUGCCAUCACUCUUCUUCCCUGACAGUCUGGUGGCGUCUGCGUGGAUGGCAUUCAUUUAUUCAAGAAAACAUUUACUAAGGACCUACGGCAUGUCUGUGCCAGUAAAUGCAUGACCUCAUCUGGAUUUUUAUGGUAGCCUCCUAACUAGUCUUCCUGCUUCCACCCUUGCCCCUCUACAGUCUAUUUUCCACACAGAUGCCUGAGGAUCUUUUUCUAAAAAUAACUUAUACCAAGCUACCCCUCUGUUCAAACCCUGUUAUGGCUUUUCCACUCUUCUACAGUAAAAGCCUAUAAGCCACAGCCUAUAAAACCUGAAGGAUCUGGGCUUCUGCUGCCCCUCUGAUCUCAUCUCCUAUCUGAAUGUCUCUCCCAAUCUGCUCCAGCCACCCUGGCUUGCUGCUAUCCUUCCCUGAGGCCAAGCACUUCUGCCUCAGGACCUUUGCACACACACUUGUCUUUCUAGACUGCCUUCCCCAGGAUUCCAGCUGCAAUGAAAGGCCUUGCUGGAUAGAAGAUCUGCCCUUGGACAUCCGGGUCAUUCUGGACCAGUGAAACUCUUUCUCCUGGCUUUCCUCCCUUCUUCAUCCUCACCCAUUCAAGUGAUGUGUCUUCCACAGCCCAGUUUUAAAACAAGGACAGUCCUGGCAAAGGAGAGAGAUGAAAAACAAAGAUAGAAACAACCAAAACCCCUGUGUUUUUAAGACUUUGGGAAUUGUAGAGACUUUAGGCAUGUCCUCACAAACUGCUUUAUAAAGAGCCAUACUGCAUGCUAUCAAGAGGGGGCCUGUACCUGGGUGCUGCAGGAAGAAAGAAUGAGAAUGCCUGUUCCUCAGGUACUUCUACUGUUAUUGAUGGACAACACAUAGAGGAAGCGGUACAGAAGACUCAGAUCAAUGAAUUCUCAUAAAGUGAGGACAGCCAUGUAAUCACCACCCAAAGAAACAGUGUUUAAUGGAAAAAGAACAUCCAACUAUGGAAGAAUUUUCUUUUUGUUCUCUGAGACAGCAAUUCUCUACACCUGGAGUCUGUAUACUCCUUGAGCUAUGUAAACUGAAGCCUGCUAGUAGCUAUGGGAAUUCCAGGCAUAGCAUCAAAAGAAAAUAAUCCAACCUUUGGUGAGCCUUGCAAAUAUGAAUUGCUUUUUAGUGAUGGAAAAUUUUACAUAACUGGCAUUUAAAAAUAAAUGUUUUUAAUAAAAACAAGAGUACACAUAUGACUGUGAACAUGUUUCCUUCUUUUGGAAACUACUCUUUUGGGUUUACUUGGCUACCUCAGCUGUUCUUGAUUCCAGUUUGCAUGGAGGUGAAAGAAAUAUAGACAGAAGGCUCUACGUUACCAGUGAUGCAGUUAGAAUUGUUGCAGAAAUGACGGUGGCAGCUACACGGUACAAGUCUGCCUUUUUUUUAGAUGAUUCCUUUUUAAACAGCAAGAAACUGAGGCCAUUUGACUGGUGUAUAUCCCCCUGGAGGUCCCGCGUGGGCACAAACCAAUUAAGUUGAGCACUCACUGAAACUGCUUUCCCAGCCAGGAUGGAGGCUGAUUGAUCAUUAAGUCAAACUGUUCACCUGUUAGACUGAAAGAGUUUACAGGUAGAUCGGGCCCAAGGCCAUUGACACUCCAUUUCACUGGCUGAAACACUUCAAGUGGUUAAGUGAGGCGGGGGAAAGCCAUUUAAUUCUCUGCACCUGGUGAUGGUCCAACUGGGUCUUGCGUUGGUCUACGAUUAUGGCAUGGAGGUAGGAAGGGGGAACUGCUCUUUAUACGCAUGGCCGAAGACUGGAAGUACGCCUAAACCAGUGGUUUUCAACCCCCGUGGACUUGAAAGUAGCCGGGGAACUUAAACAACAAAAAGAGAGCCAGAUGCUUAGGACUUGCCCAAGACCAAUGACUCCGAAUCUCCGGAGGUGGAGCCAGGCAUCGAGCAGGUUUAAUCACGUAAUUCCACCCUGCAGCUGUGGCUGACAACGCGGAGCAAAGAGUUCGACUCGGUAGCAAAGCCUCCUCUCUUGAGGAGGGCUUCCAGGACCCAAACCUCCUUCAGAAGGGUUGUCCCCGAGCCUGGGGGAAUUUCAGCUCGCUGGUCCGGGUCCCAGAGGCAGAACUCGGGCAACUAGUUUAGCAAGAGACGGUCUCAUGCACAUCACCGUGCAAACACGCCUCGUGAGCCCGGCGCUAAGGCUGAAGUAUAGCGACCCGGACACGGUUCGAACAAGACCGGAGCCCCCAACCCCCAACCCC